UAUUCGGGUCAGGUUGUUCGGUU
rnacentral:siRNA from 1 species